CCAUUUUCUCUCUGCCAAGAAGGAAUAACUGAAGCUUGUAUAUCUUAUCUAAAAUUACAGAAAAAUCUUGUAAAUUAAAGAAAUUAAUGAAAAAUUUAAAAAAUAAAACAUAUAAGAGUGAUGGUUCAGUGAAAGAACAUUAAAGUAUUAUAAAUAAGGUAGGACAAGAUUUAAGAUGAAACCCAUUUAAUCUUAACCACAAACAAAAAUAUUUUCAGUUUCUUAAGUCAUUUAAAAAAUUGAUAAAAAAAGAAAAAAUAUGAGUAUACAAAAAAUCUCUUUGAUAAAUUAUCAAAUGUUUCAGAAAAUAAUCCUCAUGAAUUAUGGAAAAUUUUAAACUCCUUCAAUCCAAGAAAAUAUAAAGUUGAGGAGAGUGGAGAACCUUUAUUAAAUUACCAUGAUACCAUGAUCCAUUUUCAGAACCAGGGCAUGUGCAUUGACGGUGAUUUAAACUUUAAAAAUAAGAUACAGGAAGAAUUAAAAUUUAUAGAAAGAGACAUGUCUGUAACUUUAGAAACUGAUAAACCAAUCACAUGCGCUGAAAUUAAAGAAGUCUUUAGGCCAUAAAAAAGAAUAGGUUUGUUUGCCCAAACCCUACCUACCCAGAAAAAAGCAGCCUACUCAAAUUCUUUUAUUGUCCUGAUUUGAAGAAGUUUUUUUUAAAUCAGAUAUGAAGACUAAUAAC
rnacentral:lncRNA from 1 species